GUGUCAGCCGCCGCGGUAAUACGGGGGGGGCAAGCGUUGUUCGGAAUUACUGGGCGUAAAGGGCUAGUAGGCGGCCUUCUAAGUCGGACGUGAAAUCCCUCGGCUCAACCGGGGAACUGCGUCCGAUACUGGGGGGCUCGAAUCCGGGAGAGGGAUGCGGAAUUCCAGGUGUAGCGGUGAAAUGCGUAGAUAUCUGGAGGAACACCGGUGGCGAAGGCGGCAUCCUGGACCGGUAUUGACGCUGAAUAGCGAAAGCCAGGGGAGCAAACGGGAUUAGAUACCCGCGUAGUCC
rnacentral:rRNA from 1 species